AACAAUUAAAUUAAACACUAGGAACUGAAAUGGACGGAAAUUAAAUUAAAAGACUAACAAUAAAGAAAACUAACUAAAUAAUAUAAUUUAAUAAUGGAUGGGUGUUUGGUUUUGAUGAAAAGUAAAUUAAACUUAAUUAAAUUACAGAAUUGAUAAAAACAUAAAAUUAAGGUAAAAUGAUAAAUGACGGACUAGCUAGAGGGUUCUUCUCCACACAUGACACAUAUGCAACCUAAAUUGAUUUUCAGUUGUUCUUUCAAUAAAUUUUGAAUCUCAAUACUCCAGAUUAACCGUGAACAGCACUUUUUUAAUCUUCAAGUUUUCCUUAAGUUAUUGAAUUGGACGGGAAAACGCAUACAACAAUUCAAAACAUUCUUCAAAAGUCCCCUACGUGAAAAGCACAAUAGAGAUACAAUCAAAGAUCAUUAAACUUUGUGAAAACUAUAAGCAUUGACGAGGCAUUCGUAACUAUGAAAAGCAUGAUACUCUUGCCAAGAAUUUACUUAACGUGAUUGUGACUAGCAACCUUUACUACUUGUGAUUAUAAGAUUGUAACUAUUAGGUGAAACUCCCUCAUAUUCUAGCAUCAAAUUCAUGCAUGUAAAUUAAGCGUGCACUCUCAACCAACAUACACAAAUCAGUUUUUAUACGAACGGAUAAGUAAAUUGAAAUCACAACUUAUGAAAUCACAACCGAAGGUAAUCAAUUCAUAUUACAAAUAUAUUCAUGGCUUUGAAUUAACCUCUAGCCAAAAUAAAUUUAAUUACACAUUAUUAAAACAAAAAUAAAAUAGAAGUUUGGAAAGAUUUAACCGAAAGAGGAGGAUUCUGCUUUCUGUGCUCUGACCAACUCUUGCUGUGCUCUCCUCUCCAGCUGACCUCUGCCACGCUGCCAAGGCAGCGUUCCUUUUCGCGUCAAUCCUCCCAUGUUUUCUGCGCCUCCUGCGCUCUCUGCGAGCUGCCCAAAGGCAGCCCUUUCCGAGUUUAAUUCUCUGUCCACGCUGGACUGCCCUGUCCUCGCAGCUUCCCACCUGCACGUACUGACCUUUCACACCUCCCCACGCUGCAAAGGCAGCGUUCUCACCUCUCUCGUCAGUCACCUCUAUCCUGUACUCACCUAUCUUCUGCUACCCCAAAGGGCAGCCUCCUGUCCGUUUCUUUCCUCUCCCCCCCCAGCUCACGUUUUCUGCCUUUGUCCCUUUUUAUUCCUUUUUCUGCUAUCCUUCCCGCGUCAGUGCUCUCUGCUGCCCAGGGCAGCUCCUCCACCUUCCCGUGUCUUAUCCAGCUCUGCCUCUCUUAUUUUUUAUUUUCUUAUUCUUCUUUCUCUCUGCACUGUUGUCCACUUCCUCUUCUUUUUUCUUCUUUUAAUCCGUCAGUGUGCACUCCACCUUUCUGACCUACUCUCCUUCUUAUUCUUUUCUAACCUUUCCCGUGCUCACCUGUCCUCCCUGUCCCUCUUAGCUUCCUCACGUUUUCCACUAUGUCCGUCUCCCCAUGCUCCUUUUCAUCUUUUAUUCUUUUUGUCUCUCCAGCUGCCAAGCAGCUGUUUUCAUUCUCUUUCAGCUGGUCUUCUAUUCGCCUGCCCUCCUCCUAAUUAUCCUCUUUUAUUUCUUAUUCCAUUUUGACCUUUCAAAGCUGCAAGGGCAGCUUACUCCUCUGCCUUGGAUUCUUUUUUCGCUGUCCUCACGUCCCCACCUCUCGGUCCUCACUAUUUUAUUUCUUCUUUUAUUCUUUCACUAUAUAGACAUAGAGAGGGACAAACCUUGUUUACACCAUUUGGCAAUUGUAAUAAUAACUUGCUUAUAAAAUGUAAAUUAGUAUUAUCAUGUAACAAUAAAGGGUAAAUUUGCAUAACAGAUCCUAUAACUACAAAAAUAAUGUAAAUAGCUCAAAAAUAUAAAGAACUAACUAAGAAAAGACGAGUGAAUUCGAAGUAAAAAUGUAUAUAAAAAUGAUCCGAUCAAAUACCCCCACACUUAACUUUUGCUAGUCCUCGAGCAAAACAAAGAAAACUAGAACAAGAAGUAACAAGAAAAACAUUAGCUUCCCUCUAUGUGACCCUCAUAGAAUUUCAUUCAAGAAAACAAAUCAUCAAGAACCAUAGCUAGCAUCAAGGAACUAAUCUAAGUUCAUCUUCCUUAUUCAAAUAUUAGCAGUAAUCUUUGAAUCAUCCUUGAAGUGUAGUGUGUGAGAUAGCCAUGCUAAUGUAAUUUCAAGUUCUUAUUUUUAAAAUCAUCAUAUGCAAACUAGCGACCUUCUCACGGGAUAUACACUCAAUCACAUAUGUGUUUAGUUUAAAUGUGUUUCGCUCAAAGAAUCAAAUGUGAAAGUUCUACCAUAAGCUUGCAUAAAGAUCACUUCUCCACAGUCAUAAUUGCAAAACUUAAAUCAAGAGGACUUUUAUUGGACGUAAUGAGGUUUAGGGAGAGGGUUAUUGAAAUGAAAGAAUAGGUAAACACAAGUUCCAAGCUACAUUGCAAGCAAUUCUUUUCUUUAGAUUUAUAAGAACUCAACCUUUCCAACGAUUCUUUUAGCACCUCCAACCACACUCUUAAACUGAAACUUGAACAACUUUUUAUUUUCUUUGUGUACAAUCUUUCUUUUUUCUUUUCUCUUUUUUUUUUUUUUUUUUUUUUUUUUUUUUUUUUUUUUUUUUUUUUUAUACAAACAUGAAAUACCCCCACACUUAUUCUUUUGCCAAACACCUUCCAAGUACUUCACAAACAUUUCCCAUAAGACAAUCUCACAUUGCUCACUAGCUUGCUUGGAAAGGGUAAGAAAAAAAUGUUUCAGGUAUAAGGGUAUGCAUAUCUGGUGAUAAGAAAUAAAAGGCUCAACAUACACGGCUCAAAUUUGUAAUCUAAUGAUAUCAUUUUUCUUUGGGAAACAUGGUUAUUUGGGCCAUGGUGGUAAACCUAAUGCCUCUAUCAUUUCCAAGUUCAUGCAAUCAAUGACAAACAUUUCGAAAGAUCGUUACGCAAGUUCUAGAGAUGUAUCUCACAUAAGUUCAUCACACAUGAAAAGAAUAGGAGUGUAUGAAAAAUGCACACACUUUCAAUAGGCUCAAAAACUCACAUAGGAUGUAUAUGGUCACUAAAUUCACAUAUGAAGCUUUAAGUCAUGCUUUAGUUUCACAUCAACAAGGCUAUGUGCAUUUGGUUUUUCAAAGAUGAUCAAACAUGUACAAAACUAACAAGAGAAUUAGGAAUUUCACAAAACACAUGUUAACUAAGUUCUUGAUGAUCAUGGUUCAAAUUUUAUCCAAUUAUAUCAUUGGGUCGGGAAACUAACAAAAAUCUAAUUCAAAACAAUAAGGGAAACAAGACAAUAUUUUUGGAUUUUUUUAAAUUUUCCGAUUUUUUUUUGUUUUUUAUUAUUUUUUUAAAAGAAAACAAAACUAAUUAAGAACACAAAAAAAAACAAAACUAAUUAAGAACACAAAAAACAACAACACAGAGACAAAUGAAAUUCUGGAGAUUUCUACCCCCACACUUAAACUUGACAUUGUCCCCAAUGUCAGAAAACACUAUAAUGCAAAUAAAAAAAAUAAAAUAAAAUAAAUAAAUAAUAAGAAACAAAAUAACGCGAUUGGACUGAAAACUUCCCUAAUUUGCAGUAAAAUCAAGCGAUGACCCCCAAGCUAAAAUUCUGCAAUCAACUUCAAGGGUGGAAAUAACCAAAAGUUCCUGCAAAGAAAAAAAAUAAUUCAGUUAAGUACGCAAGAAAAUUAAUUAAAAAAAAUUGCAAACGAAAAAUUGAAAAUUACGAUAAAAGAUAAUGAAUAAAACUAAUAAGUAAUCAUUGGUCGUGCUUGUUGACUUUCCACAGCUUUCCUCUUGAACGGGGUGACACUUAGCUUUUUACUAUUUGAUGAUAUUGUACGGCGGAGCUUUGCUCUUUGGGAAUAUUGCAGUUCCUUAUUUGUUCUCCAAGCAGAUGUGGCAGCUUCUCUUGUUCUUCAUCUCAGACUCCUUCUGCUGGGAUGAUUGUGCAAGCUGCAUUCUUCUCUGCUUGUUUCCUCUGCAUGGCGGGCAGGCACGAGGGAGAGGUGUUGGUCUGUUUCUUUCUUCAAUCUUUCCAAGUGCCCACCUCUUGCUCUCUUUCUCCUUGUCCUUAGUUGAGGAUGAAUCAGCACGUUGUCUCCACAUGCUUCGAGGUAUCAUCUUCACUUCCUUUAUACGUAAGAGACGAAGAGGAAACACAAGAUGAUGAGUACUCGAGAGCAAGUGCUGGCUGGAGAAAGGACAGGGAGAAAGCAUGAUAUGAGAUACUCUUGCUUUCAACCUUCAUGAUAUGAAAUACUUUUGCUUUGAAUGGGUUGUUCGCAGGAGUAUCCCAAGGAAUGAGGAACACAGAGUAACUUAGGAGGAUUCUUUGGGAAUGCAUUUUCGGAGAUGAAGAAGUGUUGAGAGGGUGUGCUGAGAGAGUGUGCUUUUGUUGUGGAAGGCGAAGGUAGAAACUUAUAGGACUUGUCUUCACAACCGGAACUGUUCUCUCACUCAUUGUCGGCAGCCGGUAGAUGGAUGAAUAGUACAAAUUACGUGCUUUCUGACAAAGCUGCCCGUAAUUUCCGCAAAGCAGAUUCCUCAUUGAUAUCUGGAAUCGGCGCUUCGAGCUCUGAGCAACGUCGAUUGUAGAGGUAGCAUGUGACACGUGCGGAUAAAUCUGGAAAAGAAGAUUUGCCCGUGGGUUGAAGCCCAGCUUUUGAGAAAGCUAGCGUGUCUUUGACUGUUGAAUUUCCCUCUUCGAUUUCUGAAUUGGUGCUUCGACAAACUGCCCGAGAAUUUCGCAAAGCAAUUUACGUGUGACAAGUGACGACACGUCUGGACAAAUUGAUCUUUUGAAAUCCGGGGUUCGGCUCGUGGUUUCUGAGCAAGCCCAGCCUUUAAGAAAUGAAACGCCUCUUUUGAGAAAAGAAUCCGGCUUUUGAGAAAGGAGCCCCGACUCUUCGAUUUGCGAGAGGACGCUUCUCUGAGGAGCGCCUCUCCGAUUUCUUCUUUUUAUAGAGGCGUUAAUUUUGUUCCACAACACACUUGAGCACCCUCCUGUAAACACUCCCUUCUUGCACUUGUUUAAUCUUGAUCAUUCCGACUCUCUUCUUUCUUCACCACCUCUGAAAAAUGUCUGGCCCUUCUGAUCGUCGUUUUGACUUGAACAUUGGUGAAGAGGCAGCUCCGCCUUCACCAGACAACAUAUGGCGCCCAUCUUUCAUAUCCCCUACCGGUCCUCUUACCGUGGGGGAUUCGGUGAUGAAAAAUGACAUGACUGCUGCGGUGGUGGCCCGGAACCUUGUCACCCCUAGAGAUAACAGACUGCUCGCUAGGCGGUCUGAUGAAUUGGCGGUUAAGGAGUCUCUGGCUCUUAGCGUGCAGUGUGCCGGUUCCGUGUCCAACAUGGCCCAACGCCUAUUUGCUCGAACCCGUCACGUUGAAUCGUUGGUGGCUGAAAUACAGAGUCUCAAAGAGGAGAUUAGAGGACUCAAGCAUGAAAAUAAACAAUUGCACAAGCUUGCACACAAUUAUGCCACCAGCAUGAAGAGAAAGAUUGACCAGAUGCAGGACACCGAUGGUCAAAUUUUACUUGAUCAUCGGAGGUUUGUGGGUUUGUUCCAACCGCAUCUGCCUUCGUCUUCUGGAGCGGCACCGCGUAGUGAAGCUCCAACUGAUCAACCUCUGCCGCCUCCUCCUUCUGUGGCCCCGCCGACUGCUGAAGCCCCGCCUACUACUGAAGCACCACCCGACCAAUGAAUACUAUUAGUUUACAUUAUUGUAAAAUAUUUGUAUAUUUUUUUUUUUUUUUUUUUUUUUUAUGUUUUUUUUUUUUUUUUUUUUAUUUAUCAUUAAUUUUAAAUUUUAUCUUUUUUUUUUUUUUUUUUUUUUUUUUUUUUUUUUUUCUAUAUGUAAAUUAAUGUAAAGAGACUUUGGUUAACCUUCCCCCACACUUAAACUAAAUAACACAAACUCACACAAAUCAACCAAAUAACACAACUAACUAAACAAAACAAAAUGAAAGCAGCAAAGAUAAGGGUGGAAGAAUGCAAAGCUGAUUGGGUUAGCAAUUCCAAAGUCUCCCUUCGUUGAAUGCUUGGGUUGCCUCCCAAGAAGCGCUUGAUUUAACGUCUUUAGCCGGACGCAUCUUUCCUUUAAAUUUCCCUCGGCUCCAUUUGAACCUAAAAUCAAAGAAAGAAAAAUAAAUCAAAUAUCAAAAGUAAAAUAUACAAACACCAAUAUAAACAUAAACAAAAAUAAAAAUAAAGGGGAUUAGCAAAGUUACUAAUCCCCGGCAACGGCGCCAAAAUUUGAUGCGAAAAUUACUUGACACACAAAUUAAACCCUCUUUUUGACAAUUGUAGUAUAGAUGUAAGUAGGGUAUCGUUCUAGGCCGGGGAUUAGGAGGGAUUGCUAAUCUAUUCUAAAUUAAUUUAAAAAUAUUAAAUAAGACUCAAGGACACAAAAUUAGGCUAAAAACUCUAAUAACUCGAAACACACUUAAAAUGACUCAAAACAAUGAAAACAAUUAAAUUAAACACUAGGAACUGAAAUGGACGGAAAUUAAAUUAAAAGACUAACAAUAAAGAAAACUAACUAAAUAAUAUAAUUUAAUAAUGGAUGGGUGUUUGGUUUUGAUGAAAAAGUAAAUUAAACUUAAUUAAAUUACAGAAUUGAUAAAAACAUAAAAUUAAGGUAAAAUGAUAAAUGACGGACUAGCUAGAGGGUUCUUCUCCACACAUGACACAUAUGCAACCUAAAUUGAUUUUCAGUUGUUCUUUCAAUAAAUUUUGAAUCUCAAUACUCCAGAUUAACCGUGAACAGCACUUUUUUAAUCUUCAAGUUUUCCUUAAGUUAUUG
rnacentral:lncRNA from 1 species